rnacentral:rRNA from 1 species
CCUACGGGAGGCAGCAGUGGGGAAUAUUGGACAAUGGGGGGAACCCUGAUGCAGCGACGCCGCGUGAGUGAAGAAGUAUUUCGGUAUGUAAAGCUCUAUCAGCAGGGAAGAAAAUGACGGUACCUGAGUAAGAAGCCCCGGCUAACUACGUGCCAGCAGCCGCGGUAAUACGUAGGGGGCAAGCGUUAUCCGGAUUUACUGGGUGUAAAGGGAGCGUAGACGGCGGUGCAAGUCUGGAGUGAAAGGCGGGGGCUCAACCCCGGGACUGCUCUGGAAACUGUACGGCUGGAGUGCAGGAGAGGUAAGCGGAAUUCCUAGUGUAGCGGUGAAAUGCGUAGAUAUUAGGAGGAACACCAGUGGCGAAGGCGGCUUACUGGACUGUAACUGACGUUGAGGCUCGAAAGCGUGGGGAGCAAACAGGAUUAGAUACCCUUGUAGUC